ACGCUCGACACCUACGGGAGGCAGCAGUUGGGAAUAUUGGACAAUGGAGGAAACUCUGAUCCAGUGACGCCGCGUGAAGGAAGAAGGUCUUCGGAUUGUAAACUUAUUUUGUCAGGGAAGAAAAAUGACUGUACCUGAAGAAAAAGCACCGGCUAACUACGUGCCAACAGCCGCGAUAAUCUGAGCGGGCUGGCAAGGC
rnacentral:rRNA from 1 species